rnacentral:rRNA from 1 species
UCAAGCUACUACGGGUAGACGGUGGAUGCCUUGGCGCUAGGAGCCGAUGAAGGACGUUAUGGUCUGCGAUAAGCCUCGGGGAGUUGACGAAUAAGCGUUGAUCCGGGGAUCUCCGAAUUGGGAAACCAGGCUGGGGUCAUGCCCAGUCAUUCCGGUCUGAACACAUAGGGCCGGUAAAGGAAACCGAGGGAAUUGAAACAUCUCAGUACCUCGAGGAAAAGAAAGCAACAGCGAUUCCCUGAGUAGCGGCGAGCGAAACGGGAUCAGCCCAAACCAGUGCGGUGUGAUAGGUCGACGCCGUUGCCGUGCUGGGGUAGAGGGACUUGCCAUUGCGGGACGUCGAUCCCGCUGAACGAGUUACAAAAUCGUCAGAUAACCGAAUACCACUGGAAAGUGGAGCCACAGGAGGUAACAGCCCCGUAGGUGAAAUCUAGGCGAUCUCGUGGUGAUGUUCCCAAGUAGCACGGGGCACGUGAAAUCCCGUGUGAAUCUGCCAGGACCACCUGGUAAGGCUACAUACUACCUAGCGACCGAUAGCGGACAAGUACCGUGAGGGAACGGUGAAAAGUACCCCGGUGAGGGGAGUGAAAUAGUACCUGAAACCGUCUACUUACAAGCAGUAGGAGGGGUUCUUCGGAGCCCUGACUGCCUGCCUUUUGAAGAAUGAGCCUACGAGUUAUCGAUGUGUGGCAAGGUUAAGCCGAGAGGUGUAGCCGCAGCGAAAGCAAGUCUUAAUAGGGCGCCAAGUCGCAUGUCAUAGACCCGAAGCCGAGUGAUCUAUCCAUGGACAGGGUGAAGCGAGGGUAAGACCUCGUGGAGGCCCGAACCCACCUAGGUUGAAAACUGGGGGGAUGAUCUGUGGAUAGGGGUGAAAGGCCAAUCAAACUCGGCGAUAGCUGGUUCUCCCCGAAAUAGCUUUAGGGCUAGCGUCGGGUGUUCCGCAUUGGGGGUAGAGCACUGAUUGGGCAAGGGGGCCAACAAGCUUACUAACCCCAGUCAAACUCCGAAUCUCAAUGCGCCAAACCCGGCAGUCAGACCAUGGGGGAUAAGCUUCAUGGUCGAAAGGGAAACAGCCCAGACCGCCAGUUAAGGUCCCAAAAUCAUGACUAAGUGGGGAACGAUGUAGGGUUGCCCAAACAGCCAGGAGGUUGGCUUAGAAGCAGCCACCCUUUAAAGAGUGCGUAACAGCUCACUGGUCGAGUGAUCCCGCGCGGAUGAUGUAACGGGGCUCAAGUCAUGUACCGAAACUGCGGAUUCACACUGUCAACUCCGAUGCGCACGGUUCGCCGUGCGUGUCCAGAGGGUGUGAGUGGUAGGGGAGCGUCGAAUGCCCCCUGAAGCGGCGGCGGAAGCCAGCCGUGGAGGGCAUUCGAGUGAGAAUGUAGGCAUGAGUAGCGAAUGAAGAGUGAGAAUCUCUUCCGCCGAAUGUCCAAGGGUUCCUGGGGAAGGCUCGUCCGCCCAGGGUUAGUCUGGACCUAAGGUGAGGCCGAAAGGCGUAAUCGAUGGACAACAGGUUGAUAUUCCUGUACUACCCAAGACGCGUCCAGACCGAAUCGCGUUUGCUAAGGAAAGCCCUUCGGGGCCUACCGACCCAGCGUGUAGUAGGUCAGCGAUGGAGUGACACGGAAGGGCGAACGGACCCGGGCGUUGGUUGACCCGGGGUAAGUGCGUAGGCCGAGAUCCAGGCAAAUCCGGAUCUCACAAAGGCCGAGACACGAUGCCGAGCCGCUAUUAGGCGAAGCCGUUGACCCCAUGCCGUCGAGAAAAGCUUCUAGCGAGCUUCUUGGGUACCAGUACCCGAAACCGACACAGGUGGACAAGUAGAGAAUACUAAGGCGAGCGAGAUAACUCUGGUUAAGGAAUUCGGCAAAAUGGAUCCGUAACUUCGGGAGAAGGAUCGCCCCGGUAGGGUGUAGGACUUCGCGUCCGAAGCCCGAGGGGGUUGCAGAUACCAGGCCCAAGCGACUGUUUACUAAAAACACAGGAGCGUGCUAAGUCGAAAGACGACGUAUACGCUCUGACGCCUGCCCGGUGCCGGAAGGUCAAGUGGAUUGGUUAGCUCUUCGGAGCGAAGCUAUGAAAUCAAGCCCCGGUAAACGGCGGCGGUAACUAUAACCGUUAGCAGUAACCAUAAGGCGGUUGUAAAACCUGGCUAUAUGCUGGAACAUCCGAGAAUCUGGCGGUACUCACCCGAGCACGCUUCUGCGUGAUUGGGAAGUGACAAUCCGACCAGUGCGGACAAUCAGCAGGAAACCAAAGUCACGACACAGCAGCUCGAGUCGAGCUGGACAUCACAUCUCGGUGGAUGGCAACUCACUGCCACCGUCCGGGCGUCCAUCAGGUACUCAGGCUCAUGGUGUCCGUGAAGAAUGGCGACUUCCAACCAACGCAUCGAUCGCGAGAUCGAAGCGUCGCAUGGAAUUCUUGCAUUCGGGUGGCUUCAACGAAUCGGCUCAGGCCGAUCGAAGGCAUCCUGCAGGGAUCCUCAGAGACUGUACGCCAGGCCCCUCGGUGAGACGAGGGGAUGAUACAGUCCGAUCCCCAUGGCGACAUGGGGAGUCAGGCAGAAAUGUCCUGACCGCGUCCCGUGCGUGCCGUCCACGCACAUCGACAUCAGGGACGCAGUAACAAGAAUGCCUAAGGUAGCGAAAUUCCUUGUCGGGUAAGUUCCGACCUGCACGAAUGGCGUAACGACUCGGGCACUGUCUCAACCAGAGACUCGGCGAAAUUGCAAUGUGAGUAAAGAUGCUCACUUCCCGCGACAGGACGGAAAGACCCCGGGACCUUUACUGCAGCUUGACAUUGAAGUUCUUCAUGUGAUGUGUAGGAUAGGUGGGAGUCAAUGAAGCGGCCGCGCUAGCGGUCGUGGAGACAACCUUGAAAUACCACCCUUCCCAUGACGUGCUUCUAACUUCGGUCCGUUAUCCGGAUCAAGGACAGUGUCUGGUGGGCAGUUUCACUGGGGUGGUGGCCUCCUAAAGUGUAACGGAGGCGCCCAAAGGUUCCCUCAGCCAGGUCGGCAAUCUGGCGGCGAGUGUAAAGGCACAAGGGAGCUUGACUGCGAGACAGACAAGUCGAGCAGGUACGAAAGUAGGGCUUAGUGAUCCCUCGGCGGCAUGUGGGUGCGCCGAGGCCAACGGCUAAAAGGUACCCCGGGGAUAACAGGCUCAUACCGCCCAAGAGUCCAUAUCGACGGCGGUGUUUGGCACCUCGAUGUCGGCUCGUCUCAUCCUGGGGCUGAAGCAGGUCCCAAGGGUCGGGCUGUUCGCCCGUUAAAGAGGCACGCGAGCUGGGUUUAGAACGUCGUGAGACAGUUCGGUCCCUAUCCGUCGUGGGCGCAGGAGAUUUGAGGAGAGUUGUCCCUAGUACGAGAGGACCGGGAUGAACGUACCUCUGGUGUGCCAGUUGUUCUGCCAAGAGCACGGCUGGUUUGCUACGUACGGAACGGAUAAGCGCUGAAAGCAUCUAAGCGCGAAACCGGCUCCGAGAUGAGAUCUCCCACUGAGAAAUCAGGUAAGGCCCCUGGUAGACGACCAGGUUGAUAGGCCGGAAGUGGAAGCGCAGCAAUGUGUGAAGCUGACCGGUACUAAUAGGCCGAGGGCUUGAAUUU